GUCGAGGGCACCCGCAACAAAGCCAUUUCUAGCUUCUAUUGGCCAACAAUGAUUCAGGACAUCAAUGAAUGGGCAUGGGCACAGAUUUGCCUUCUGGACAGAGAAAGCGUCCCCUCUUCUUCAGGGAACUCUACAGCCUGUCUUCAGGGUUCCAAAGGCAACCCCCUCUAUAUCUUACUAAACUUCAAUCAGACAGUUGCCAGAAGUAUUGACUGCCAACAUACAUGAAAAAGUUGUCCUUCGGGAAGGUGACCGUGCUAUAUGCACAUUGGCUCUUGUGUGCUCCAGAAUCAGAGACCUUGGUUCUCCAGACUCCUUCAGAAGACGGGCACAUUUUAA